GUCGAUUCUGAAAUGAAAAUUGAAUAUUUUAAGCAACCAUGGAUUAUAAAUUUGCUUUCUCUAGAUAUUUCUAAAUACUUACUGGUAAUACUGGACUAGCAAUCGAAAUACGUUCAGCAGUUCCAGAAACUGUAGAAAAAUGUAAACGCAAAAAAGAAUAGUUCUGUGGUUAUUAUGCUGAGCGCAAAUGGAAUCGUCCAGUAGGAACUUAAAACAAGCAACUGAAAUGAAAAAUCAAUUAUUUUAAUAAAAUCGACAACGGUUAUGAUACUGUGAUAUGAUGCGUAAAAAUAAGUACCUGUAGGUUAAUAACUAAGGUAACUAGGUGAAAUAUGCAGGUACUGAAGCACCAAUGAUCCGCUGGUGUUCCGUCAAAGAGAAUAGGAUUGUAAAUAUAAUGAUAGUGUGAAAUGAAGUAUAUUGUACAGGUUUGCCAAAUUGCUAAAAAAAACAAUAAUCUUUUUAUUAAAAGUGCAAAAUUUGAAAUAACA